rnacentral:rRNA from 1 species
GACGAACGCUGGCGGCGUGCUUAACACAUGCAAGUCGAACGGAAAGGCCCUGCUUUUGUGGGGUGCUCGAGUGGCGAACGGGUGAGUAAAACGUGAGUAACCUGCCCUUGUCUUUGGGAUAACUUCAGGAAACUGGGGCUAAUACCGGAUAGGAGCUCCUGCUGCAUGGUGGGGGUUGGAAAGUUUCGGCGGUUGGGGCUGGACUCGCGGCUUAUCAGCUUGUUGGUGGGGUAGUGGCUUACCAAGGCUUUGACGGGUAGCCGGCCUGAGAGGGUGACCGGCCACAUUGGGACUGAGGUACGGCCCAGACUCCUACGGGAGGCAGCAGUGGGGAAUAUUGCACAAUGGGCGGAAGCCUGAUGCAGCAACGCCGCGUGCGGGAUGACGGCCUUCGGGUUGUAAACCGCUUUCGCCUGUGACGAAGCGUGAGUGACGGUAAUGAGUAAAGAAGCACCGGCUAACUACGUG